rnacentral:rRNA from 1 species
GAUACCCCACUAUGCUUAGCCCUAAACAUAAAUAUUCAACUAACAAGAAUAUUCGCCAGAGAACUACUAGCCACUGCUUAAAACUCAAAGGACUUGGCGGUGCUUUAUACCCCUCUAGAGGAGCCUGUUCUAUAAUCGAUAAACCCCGUUAAACCUGACCACUCUUUGCAUAAUCAGCCUAUAUACCGCCAUCUUCAGCAAACCCUAACAAGGCACCAUAGUAAGCAUAAUAAUUUUACAUAAAAACGUUAGGUCAAGGUGUAGCCCAUAGAGUGGGAAGAAAUGGGCUACAUUUUCUAAUCCCUAGAACAUCUCACGAUAGCUGUCAUGAAAUAUGACUAGCCCAAGGCGGAUUUAGUAGUAAGCUGGGAAUAGAGUGCCCGGCUGAAUUGGGCAAUAAAGCACGCACACACCGCC